AGAGUUUGAUUAUGGCUCAGGAUGAACGCUGGCGGCGUGCUUAACACAUGCAAGUCGAACGAAGUAGCUUUCUGCUUGCAAGAAAGUUGACUUAGUGGCGGACGGGUGAGUAACGCGUGGGUAACCUGCCUCAUACAGGGGGAUAACAGUUGGAAACGACCGCUAAGACCGCAUAACCCGCUAGUGUCGCAUGACACGGACGGAAAAUAUUUAUAGGUAUGAGAUGGGCCCGCGUCUGAUUAGCUAGUUGGUAAGGUAACGGCUUACCAAGGCGACGAUCGGUAGCCGACUUGAGAGAGUGAUCGGCCACAUUGGGACUGAGACACGGCCCAAACUCCUACGGGAGGCAGCAGUGGGGAAUAUUGGACAAUGGGGGAAACCCUGAUCCAAGCGACGCCGCGUGAGUGAAGAAGUAUUUCGGUAUGUAAAGCUCUAUCAGCAGGGAAGAUAAUGACAGUACCUGACUAAGAAGCCCCGGCUAACUACGUGCCAGCAGCGGC
rnacentral:rRNA from 1 species